AUUUUGUUAAAUCAUCUCAAAAUUGCUUUAUUCACAUUGUAGAAAACUGCAGAAAAACACCAACUCGUCCUUCCUCUGUGAACUCGGUCAGCUCGAGGAGGUCUGGAUCUCUCACUGCAAACCACCUAACAGAGACUCUGACCAAACAAACUCAAAGAUUUCAGCUACAGGUUGAUGCUUUUGAGGCACUUCUAAAGAAUGGGAAGCUCAAGUCCUGUGAACAGAUAAAGGGUCUCUCCACACUGGCACAGGGGCAGGAGUCUCUUGAACAUGCUUACCUAGAUGCACGAGCCCAGUAUCAGAUGCAGCAGCAGCAGAGAAAAGGCAAGCAUGUCACCUUUGACCCAGACAGGGACCUAGAAGGUCAGAUCUUCAGGUCAGGGAUGCGAUUGGAGGAGCUGAAGGAGUGGCUGGACCAAGCAGAACAGAACAAACCCAUUUCUGAACCUACUUUAAACCCUCCUACAGAUGUGCUCUGUGUGUCCAUGCUGGAGACCGAACCUCUGCCUGAGAGCCCACUGUCUGCUGUCCAUCCUGAGGCUUGUGUUGGUGUGGAGGUUAGUUCAGUUAGCGGAGAGAGUGAUGCAGACGGAGAGGAGGAAGAAGAGAUCCUCCCAUUUCUUCUUCAUCCCAUCCAUGUCAAACACCAGCGAGUAGAGAGAGACUUCAGUAAGCUCGUGGACUGCUAUCAGAGUUUUAAAGAGCUGCCUGGGAUGCUGGACCCAACUGUGACUUUAAAGAGCCAUGACUUGCUUUAUUUUGGAGACUCUGCUUCUCUUGGGAAUACAAGUGUAACGGACAGACAACAACACAGGAUUUUUAAUGAGAAAAAGACGACGACAUCUGCUCAGCAGCAGGCAGCAGCAGAUUGUGUCCCUCCCUCCGGCCCAUCUGUCAGGUCACAGGUGUGUGACUCUAUGGAAACUCACCUAGAGGCUCUUUGCCACUCCUCGGUGUUGCCAGGGCAACCGGGCAGGGAAAGGAAAAUAGCAGGAAACAGGAAAACUCAAAGCAGUAGCCUGACCAGCCUGGCAGAGAGCACAGAACCCAGAACUAUGGGUUUAAAAGCAAAGGCUAAGACUGUCAGAGCAUCUCCUCUGGAUUGGGUUAAGUCUCCAGAGACAGACAGUGGCUUUAUGGGCUCUGAGAGUCAGCUCACUCCUGCAGUACACAGUCCUCUCCAGCAGAGGGCAGUGGCGAGUUCCAUCGGGCCGUCUGGCCCGCGUGUGAACACAGAAAGACCAGAGUCUGCUCCUCCUGCUAGACAGCCUUUUGCCAUCUCCCCCACUCAAUCACAACCCUCUCCAAAUACCCAAGGAGAACACCUCACCAAGUCUGAAGGAUGCAUGGGUCCUGUGAGGAGGAGAAGAGGGGAGGAAAUGUGUUCUUCUUCCAGCCUUACUCCCUCAUUAUCCCCCAUUCAUUGGCCCAAUAGCACCCUCCUGCCCUGGCCGAGCAGCCUGACCAGCCAAUCAGAGCAUGGGAGUGAUCAGGUCCGUUUCUUAUCAGGGGAUGAGAAAUCACAGGAUGGCCAGUACCCACAACCAGCCAAUCAGCAGCUCCGCUCUCACAGAAGCCCUUCCCUCCAUGUGCCUAAUCACCACGGUGACCACCUCAAAGCCCAAAGUUCCAUUCAGCUAACAAAUCAGCAAGAGGCUCUUCGAUCUCUACAGCAAGAAGUGAACCGAUUGAAAGAGAGACUAGAGGGAAAUCUGAGACUCUCCAAACCUACCAGUCCUGUCAGAGUGCCCUCUUCUGCCACAGAAGAUACCAGGGAUCAGGCUUCCCCACAGACCACAAGGUACCGGAAAUCUAUGAUCUUAGACUGUCCAAAAUUAUGUGUGUUACCUAAAACUUUUAAGUCAUAA
ensembl:lncRNA